GCCAUCUUUACUGCGGGUGUUCUAUCAAAAUCCCCCAACUCGUCACUUCCGGUGCACAUCCUCCACAGCCGGGUCCUGGAAGGUAAGUAAGACAGCCAGGCCCUGGAAGGUAAAUAACACAACCAGGUCCUGGAUGGUAAGUAACACAGCCAGGCCCUGGAAGGUCAGUAACAGCCGCGUCCUGGAAGGUCAGUAACAGCCGCGUCCUGGAAGGUAAAUAACACAACCAGGUCCUGGAUGGUAAGUAAGACAGCCAGGCCCUGGAAGGUAAAUAACACAACCAGGUCCUGGAUGGUAAGUAACACAACCAGGUCCUGGAUGGUAAGUAAGACAGCCAGGCCCUGGAAGGUCAGUAACAGCCGCGUCCUGGAAGGUAAGUAACACAGCCAGGUCCUGGAAGGUCAGUAACACGGCCGGGUCCUGGAAGGUCAGUAACAGCCGCGUCCUGGAAGGUAAGUAACACAGCCAGGCCCUGGAAGGUCAGUAACACGGCCGGGUCCUGGAAGGUCAGUAACAGCCGCGUCCUGGAAGGUAAGUAACACAGCCGGGUCCUGGAAGGUAAGUAACACAGCCGGGCCCUGGAAGGUAAGUAACACAGCCGGGUCCUGAAGGUAAGUAACACAGCCGGGUCCUGAAGGUAAGUAACACAGCCGGGUCCUGCAUGGUCAGUAACACAGCCGGGUCCUGCAUGGUCAGUAACACAGCCGGGUCCUGGAAGGUCGGUAACACAGCCGGGUCCUGGAAGGUCGGUAACACAGCCGGGUCCUGGAAGGUCAGUAACACAGCCAGCUCCGGGAAGGUAAGUAACACAGCAACACAGCCAGAUCCUGGAAGGUAAGUGUAACGGACCGUUUUGCCCACAAGAGGUUAAAAACCGUUUAGGCGAUAUUCCCCCUUUUCAGCUGCACAGACAGCUACUGCAAGCACCAAUCUCCCGAACUGCAAACCCACAAAUUUACCAACUCCCGAACUGCAACCAAGGGAAUACUCGAAACUCCCGAACUGGAACCUCACGAAUAGCUGCUAGCAGACGAACAGGAAAAGCCCACAAGCGGCUUACACUCCUGGCAAUCAGUCUCUAACAGCAUACAGUAAAUCCUCCCCCCAAUAAUGAGAUGACACUUCACUUUGAGGGUUAAGCAGGAACUUAUUUACAGGGGCUAACUGCCCGGCUUUUAUGAAGGUCUCCCACCUGGUGGACACUCCCCUAGGGGAACAAAUGGGAUACUGGGACACAAAGGGUAAAAGGACCAAUCACAGACUUACACAUUUCAACCAUCCCACACAAUCCCUCCUCUCUGUCCUGGAGAUAAUUGGGAAGUAAUUCAAUUAUCUCCAAAGACAGAGGCAAAACUCCAUUAACCACAUGGCAGAAAACAAACAGUAAAAGACAUAAAAUUACCUACAGUUACAUUCAGUACAUAAAACAUAUAUGUUCUACAUAUCUCCAGAUAGCUCAGGUCUGAGCGCACAUUAUUAAGCGAAUGGCGC